CAUGAUUGGAUGAGGUCAUAGAAGUUUGGCUUCUCUCAUUGACCUGGAAGGAUGCCGUCAUCCACUCUGACCUGCAAACCUUUUGAUCUCAAACAGCGAUCUUCCAGGCGUGGCCCCAAAUCAACAGCAUCAGCGUCACCCAGGAGCUGGAUUCUUUCCCAAAACCCAAAGGCCCAGUCCAGUCACGAGAAGACAUCAGGCAAACCGAAAUUCAGGGAAGUUCUACAAAACACUAACCAGUACUCUUCAAAGUUCUCAAGGUCAUGAAAUUUAAGAAAAGACUGAGAAAGUGUCACAGUUCAGAAGAUACUAAGGAGACAAGAUGACCAAAUGCAAUGUGGCAUCUUGAAUUGGAUCCUGGUGAAUAAAAAUGCAGUGGGAAAUCCAGCGAAAUCAAAAUAAAGUCUGUAGUUUAGUUA
rnacentral:lncRNA from 1 species